rnacentral:rRNA from 1 species
AUUGAACGCUGGCGGCAUGCUUUACACAUGCAAGUCGAACGGCAGCGCGGGCCUCGGCCUGGCGGCGAGUGGCGAACGGGUGAGUAAUGCAUCGGAACGUGCCCAGUAGUGGGGGAUAGCCCGGCGAAAGCCGGAUUAAUACCGCAUACGACCUGAGGGUGAAAGCGGGGGACCGAAAGGCCUCGCGCUAUUGGAGCGGCCGAUGUCGGAUUAGCUAGUUGGUGGGGUAAAGGCUUACCAAGGCGACGAUCCGUAGCUGGUCUGAGAGGACGACCAGCCACACUGGGACUGAGACACGGCCCAGACUCCUACGGGAGGCAGCAGUGGGGAAUUUUGGACAAUGGGGGCAACCCUGAUCCAGCCAUGCCGCGUGCGGGAAGAAGGCCUUCGGGUUGUAAACCGCUUUUGUUCGGGAAGAAAUCCUCUGGGCUAAUACCCCGGGGGGAUGACGGUACCGGAAGAAUAAGCACCGGCUAACUACGCG